UACGAAGGGGGCUAGCGUUGUUCGGAAUUACUGGGCGUAAAGCGCGCGUAGGCGGACUGGUUAGUCAGAGGUGAAAGCCUGGAGCUUAACUCCAGAACUGCCUUUGAUACUGCUAGUCUUGAGAGUGGGAGAGGUGAGUGGAACUGCGAGUGUAGAGGUGAAAUUCGUAGAUAUUCGCAAGAACACCAGUGGCGAAGGCGGCUCACUGGCCCAUUUCUGACGCUGAGGCGCGAAAGCGUGGGGAGCAAACAGG
rnacentral:misc_RNA from 1 species